AUCAAGUUUUACAGGUACAGGAGACAUAGCCAUGUAUAUGGACGCAGUUGUAAUCGCCGGAAUCGCCACAGUAUUGCUGAUGAUUGGCUUCUUCGUCGGAGUCGGCAUCUUCGUCAUGAAGGAUCAGAAGAGUCAUGCUGCUAAAGGCGGAAAGAACCACCAGGGUGGUCAUGGCAGCUGACGAACAGACAGCUUU
rnacentral:sRNA from 17 species